rnacentral:rRNA from 1 species
GUAGGUGGCAAGCGUUGUCCGGAAUUAUUGGGCGUAAAGCGCGCGCAGGCGGUUCUUUAAGUCUGAUGUGAAAGCCCACGGCUCAACCGUGGAGGGUCAUUGGAAACUGGAGAACUUGAGUACAGAAGAGGAAAGCGGAAUUCCACGUGUAGCGGUGAAAUGCGUAGAGAUGUGGAGGAACACCAGUGGCGAAGGCGGCUUUCUGGUCUGUAACUGACGCUGAGGCGCGAAAGCGUGGGGAGCGAACAGGGAUUAGAUACCCUGGUAGUCCACGCCGUAAACGAUGAGUGCUAAGUGGUUAGGGGGUUUCCCGCCCCCCUUAGUGCUGCAGCUAACGCAUUAAGCACUCCGCCUGGGAGUACGGCCGCAAGGCUG